GGAGGAACAGAGCCCCAGGAGGCCCAGGCGUGGGACAAGGCAGCUGCAGGGUCGGAAAGAGGAAGGCUGAGGGCCCUGGGAAUCUUGCACAUUCCAGGGUCCAGAAAGGUCAGUUUGGGGUCCACCUCUGGGGAGUCCACAAAAGAAAACGUUCAAUGUGGCUACAGGCCUGCCUUUCCAAACUCCUCGUGGCUACCAUUUCAUGAGCGGCUUCAAGUCCAGAAUGGUGAGUUUCCGUGGCAAGUGAGUAUCCAGAUGUCUCAGAAACACCUCUGUGGAGGCUCAAUCAUACACCGGUGGUGGGUUCUGACAGCUGCACACUGCUUCUCAAGAACCCUAUUAGACAUGGCAGUGGUAAAUGUCACCGUGGUCAUGGGAACAAGAACAUUCAGCAACAUCUACUCAGAGAGAAAGCAAGUGCGGAAGGUCAUUAUUCAUAAAGAUUACAAAGCACCCCAUCUCGACAGUGACCUCUCUCUGCUUCUACUCGCCACGCCAGUGCAAUUCACCAAUUUCAAAAUGCCUGUCUGCCUGCAGGAGGAGGAGAGGACCUGGGACCGGUGUUGGGUGGCAGAGUGGGUAACAACCAAUGGGUAUGAGUAGAAUCCUGUUUCCUUCUGGAGCUUUUCCUAACUGAUAUGCUUCGAGCCAUCUUAACGCCCCAGGCCUGCUGGUAUCAGAGUCAUCGACCUCCUCAUUUGUACUGCAGAGGGCUGGAGGGAGAUUCGGAAAAUCAGGGCAGGGUCCAGGAGAAGGUUCUGUCAUUGCAUGGCUUCAGCCUGGUCUCUCCUGACACCAGCCAGGAGAGACAGACUUUUUCCCACACAGCAGUUACCAACCAGAAGUACCUGAGCAAGAUCACCCUCAGCUCCUGCAGCCUUAGGGCACCCGAGUGUCCUGUCCGCUGGACAUUUGUUAUGGACAAAGAUUUGUGUGGCCCAUCAGUUUGCACACUGAAGCUCUAACCCUGGCUAUAAUUGGAGAGGGGGCCACCGAGGAAGCUAUUAAGGUUAACUGAGAUACAGGGUGGAGUCCUGGUUGAUAGGAUGGUGUCUUUAUGAGGACACCUAUAAGAUGGAUGCCCACUUGUCCCUCUGACUCCUCUGGUACA